CGCGUGAGUGUGAAGGUUUUCGGAUCGUAAAACUCUGUUGUUAGGGAAGAACAAGUACCAGAAGUAACUGCUGGUACCUUGACGGUACCUAACCAGAAAGCCACGGCUAACUACGUGCCAGCAGCCGCGGUAAUACGUAGGUGGCAAGCGUUGUCCGGAAUUAUUGGGCGUAAAGCGCGCGCAGGCGGUCCUUUAAGUCUGAUGUGAAAGCCCACGGCUCAACCGUGGAGGGUCAUUGGAAACUGGGGGACUUGAGUACAGAAGAGAAGAGUGGAAUUCCACGUGUAGCGGUGAAAUGCGUAGAGAUGUGGAGGAACACCAGUGGCGAAGCGACUCUUUGGUCUGUAACUGACGCUGAGGCGCGAAAGCGUGGGGGGAGCAAACAGGAUUAGAUACCCUGGUAGUCCACGCCGUAAACGAUGAGUGCUNAGUGUUANAAGGUUUCCGCC
rnacentral:rRNA from 1 species